rnacentral:rRNA from 1 species
CGCGUAGGCGGCCGGCUAAGUCAGACGUGAAAUCCCCGGGCUCAACCCGGGAACUGCGUCUGAGACUGGACGGCUCGAAUCCGGGAGAGGGAUGUGGAAUUCCAGGUGUAGCGGUGAAAUGCGUAGAUAUCUGGAGGAACACCGGUGGCGAAGGCGGCAUCCUGGACCGGUAUUGACGCUGAGGCGCGAAAGCCAGGGGAGCAAACG